ACUGGGCGGCGGCAACAAGUUGAGCCGUUUAGAUUUAGAGCUUGUAAAGUGUGUGCGGAAAAUUCAAUAACCAAGUGAUAACAACCUCAAGAACAGAUCCAAGUUAACCCGCUGGAAGACCAGGAAAAUCCACACAACCACUCGAGCUGAAGGAUAUCGGCAGGGUAAAUGCACAAAUGCAUAUGCAUACAUAGAUGUAUGUGUAUGCGUAUGUAGGCAGGCCGGAGAGAUGACAACAAAAGCCAGCUUAAUGGCAAUAAUAACAGAUUUUAGCCAACCACAAAGAAAACGUCAACAGAGGCAUACUUUUUGGCCACCAUGCUGGCAGCAGCAGCAGCAGCAGUUCGGUUAAUGGCAGGAAGUUCACUUCACAGCCAGGACGACACAUCCUUGCAGCAGUCACUUUGAAUGAAAAUUCAUUAAGUGAAAAUGCCUAAGCCAGCAGAUGAAACAGAAAGGAGCAGCAGUCCAUCCUCUUAAUAGCCGAAAAAAAAGACCGCAUCGUUGGACAAGCAACCACAUCCAUCAGCCGGCCGAUUGGCUCAAUUUGCAUGCAAUUAAAAAU
ensembl:ncRNA lncRNA:CR44226 long non-coding RNA:CR44226